CCUACGGGGUGCAGCAGUGAGGAAUAUUGGUCAAUGGACGCAAGUCUGAACCAGCCAUGCCGCGUGCAGGAAGACGGCUCUAUGAGUUGUAAACUGCUUUUGUACGAGGGUAAACGCAGAUACGCGUAUCUGUCUGAAAGUAUCGUACGAAUAAGGAUCGGCUAACUCCGUGCCAGCAGCCGCGGUAAUACGGAGGAUUCAAGCGUUAUCCGGAUUUAUUGGGUUUAAAGGGUGCGUAGGCGGUCGGAUAAGUUAGAUGUGAAAUCCCGAGGCUCAACUUCGGAAUUGCCUCUGAUACUGUUCGGCGAGAGAGUAGUUGCGGUAGGCGGAAUGUAUGGUGUAGCGGUGAAAUGCUUAGAGAUCAUACAGAACACCGAUUGCGAAGGCAGCUUACCAAGCUACUUCUGACGUUGAGGCACGAAAGCGUGGGGAGCAAACAGGAUUAGAUACCCGGGUAGUC
rnacentral:rRNA from 1 species